rnacentral:rRNA from 1 species
CAUGCUAGUCGUACGAGUUCAUACUCGUGGCGAAUAGCUCAGUAACACGUGGCCAAACUACCCUUCGGACCACAAUACCCUCGGGAAACUGAGGCUAAUAGUGUCUACCACAGUCCACCUGGAAUGAGGACUGUGCCAAACGCUCCGGCGCCGAAGGAUGUGGCUGCGGCCGAUUAGGUAGACGGUGGGGUAACGGCCCACCGUGCCAAUAAUCGGUACGGGUCAUGAGAGUGAGAACCCGGAGACGGAAUCUGAGACAAGAUUCCGGGCCCUACGGGGCGCAGCAGGCGCGAAACCUUUACACUGCACGACAGUGCGAUAAGGGAAUCCCAAGUGCACAGGCAUAGAGCCUGUGCUUUUGUGUACCCUAGGGCGGUGCACGAAUAAGGGCUGGGCAAGACCGGUGCCAGCCGCCGCGGUAAUACCGGCAGCCCAAGUGAUGGCCGAUCUUAUUGGGCCUAAAGCGUCCGUAGCUGGCCGCACAAGUCCAUCGGGAAAUCCACCUGCCCAACAGGUGGACGCCCGGUGGAAACUGUGUGGCUUGGGACCGGAAGGCGCGACGGGUACGUCCGGGGUAGGAGUGAAAUCCCGUAAUCCUGGACGGACCGCCGAUGGCGAAAGCACGUCGCGAAAACGGAUCCGACAGUGAGGGACGAAAGCCAGGGUCUCGAACCGGAUUAGAUACCCGGGUAGUCCUGGCCGUAAACAAUGUCUGUUAGGUGUGGCUCCCACUACGAGUGGGUGCUGUGCCGUAGGGAAGCCGCUAAACAGACCGCCUGGGAAGUACGUCCGCAAGGAUGAAACU